rnacentral:rRNA from 1 species
AGCGCAUCCUUCGGGUAUGAGCGGCGGACGGGUGAGUAACGCGUGGGAAUAUGCCCUUCUCUAAGGAAUAGCCUCUGGAAACGGAGAGUAAUACCUUAUACGCCCUUCGGGGGAAAGAUUUAUCGGAGAAGGAUUAGCCCGCGUUAGAUUAGGUAGUUGGUGGGGUAAUGGCCUACCAAGCCUACGAUCUAUAGCUGGUUUGAGAGGAUGAUCAGCCACACUGGGACUGAGACACGGCCCAGACUCCUACGGGAGGCAGCAGUAGGGAAUCUUAGACAAUGGGGGAAACCCUGAUCUAGCCAUGCCGCGUGUGUGAUGAAGGCCUUAGGGUCGUAAAGCACUUUCGCCAGAGAUGAUAAUGACAGUAUCUGGUAAAGAAACCCCGGCUAACUCCGUGCCAGCAGCCGCGGUAAUACGGAGGGGGUUAGCGUUGUUCGGAAUUACUGGGCGUAAAGCGCACGUAGGCGGAUUAGUAAGUUAGAGGUGAAAUCCCAGGGCUCAACCCUGGAACUGCCUUUAAUACUGCUAGUCUUGAGUUCGAGAGAGGUAAGUGGAAUUCCAAGUGUAGAGGUGAAAUUCGUAGAUAUUUGGAGGAACACCAGUGGCGAAGGCGGCUUACUGGCUCGAUACUGACGCUGAGGUGCGAAAGUGUGGGGAGCAAACAGGAUUAGAUACCCUGGUAGUCCACACCGUAAACGAUGAAUGCCAGACGUCAGCAAGUAUACUUGUUGGUGUCACACUAACGGAUUAAGCAUUCCGCGUGGGGAGUACGUCGCAACG